rnacentral:tRNA from 1 species
UGGAGGAUAGUUAAAAAUAACAGCUUCAUUGCAAGAAGAAAGUAUUGAAAAUUCAAUUCCUCAAA